rnacentral:rRNA from 1 species
AUGGAUGAAUUAGCCAUAGCUCAGUGUUCAUCUUUUGUCAAGCAUAAUGAGUGGAUCCCUGCCAUGUAUUUUUCUGUUAUGUUUGAGCGCUGUAGCAUAUUUAUCUUGAUGCAUUUAGUUGGUCACUUGCUGAUUAUCGCAGACCGGUGCCAUAUUUGUUUUGCUUGCCAUUUCCAAACCAUGCAUCCGAUUCCGGUGAUCUUUAUAUCAAUUUCAACUGAAAUCACCUCACCUUUCCAGUGGCACUCUUGGAUUUCCAUGUUGAGGCCAGGUUCAAUCAUUCCUUGUCAAAUCUUGCAUAUGCAUCACAUACCGCAUCUCGCAUAG